UACGAAGGGGGCUAGCGUUGUUCGGAAUUACUGGGCGUAAAGCGCGCGUAGGCGGACGUUUAAGUCAGGGGUGAAAUGCCGGGGCUCAACCUCGGAACUGCCUUUGAUACUGGACGUCUGGAGUUCGGGAGAGGUGAGUGGAAUUCCGAGUGUAGAGGUGAAAUUCGUAGAUAUUCGGAGGAACACCAGUGGCGAAGGCGGCUCACUGGACCGGAACUGACGCUGAGGCGCGAAAGCGUGGGGAGCAAACGGG
rnacentral:rRNA from 1 species